AGGAUCUGAAGCGGGCUCUGCACUGACAGCAGAGAGCCUGACAUGGGGCUCAAAGUCACAGACCAUGAGAUCAUGAUCUGAGCUGAAGUCAGAUGCUCAACAGGUUGGGUCACUCAGGUGCCCUUAAUCUUAGCAUUUCUUAAAGAUGACAAAUUUCCUGAGCAAUUUUAUUUUGAGCAGACAGAACCAAGAUAUAAAAAGUAAGAGAGAAAGAUGAAAGUAGAAAGGUGAGCCAUGAGUGUUGGAAGGACGGAGGAUGGGCAGAAUGCAAGCCCUCUGGCAUUCUCAAGCGAGGUGGGGGGACACCCGCACAGGAAGAGAUUUCCCGAGAUUGUGUCCACUGCCUGUGUGACCCAGGCACCAUGCAGGGCUCACGGGACACAAGCACAAGGCAGGCCAAGGCCAGUGCCAGGGCUCUGAGCUUCAGGAGCGAGGGGAAUUGAGGGCGUGCCCCCCCGGGGUGGGGUCUGCCAGAGACCGCAGGGCUGCACUGUGGCCCAGGGGCGUCACCCUCCGUGUGCACAGCUGGUGUCGGCACGGGCAAGGAAGCAGUUUCCAGAAGGCCGGCACGGUCACCAGACACAGCUGAAGGGUGACAAAAACAGAAGUGCUCCUGGAUGUCCUGGCCACGGAGGACACUGACCAGGGUCAGGGGCCUUGGGGUUGGGCUCCGAUGCGGUGGUGAGGUGAGUGCGAGGGAGCAUGGGAGACACCGGAGCAACGACAGGGGCCUUCUUUCCCUGCCCGGAGGAGACCUAGGUCUGUCCGCCUCACCGCUCAUGUUUAUUUCUUCUAAGUUAAGGUUGCUAAGUCCCACAGGCUCCAAACAAGGGCCACUGUGGGAAGCUGAAUGUCACAUAGAAAACCCACCCUCACUGACUCGAAGAACCAGAACCAGAACUGAGGUCAACUGCAGCCGCCAGAAGUGAGGAGACGUCAGAAGACAAUCACUGAGGGGAGCCCACACCCUGAGCAUGAACGCGGCUCUCUGGUCAACCUAGCUAGCACAUGCUGCGUGUGGUGGGGACAGGCGCUGACUUCAAGCCCAGCCCAAGAGUCUCUAUGGUGGUUUAUCCAUAAUGUCCAGGAACUGCUAGAUGUAAGGAACAACAACAAGAUGUGACCAAACUCAAGAGAAAAGACAAGGGAGCUAACUCGAUGUGAUCCAGAAGCUACUAGUGGGGAAAAUUAUAACAGCAGGUGUAAUACAGGCCCAGGAGCAACAUCAGAGUACUGAACAGGACUGGUACACUUGAAGCAACAGUAAAAGCCACCACCAAAAAUGAAAACCAGAGAGAAUUCUGGAAAAAAAAGAGGACAAUCAGUUGAACCAGGGGAUGGUAUACACAGAUAAUUGGAGUUCCAUAAGGAGAGGAGAGAGGGACAGGAGGGAAUUUCCCCCAGACAGGGAGAAAGCACUAGUGGUCACACGCUGGUAAAGGAAAGGUACCCAGAAUUCAUAAGGGCCACAAGCAACGUUGAGAAGACAAACCCCCAACAAACUGACAGGGGAGGAUUCGGGCACUUGGAGGAGGAGACGAACCUAUGAGCAGCUGCGCAACACCGGUGGUCAGAGAGAGAGGGGCACUGAAACCACCAUGAGCUACCGCGACGCACCCACCAGGAUGGCAGAAGUGAAAGACGGGUCGUACCGAACGUGCGCGGAGACGAGGCACAGCUUUGGAGGUCGUGAGCAAAAGUGGCCGCUCGCGCAUAGAAUACCGCCUUUACUUGUAAACGUGACUGCAGGUAAGCGUGGCUACUCAGACUCGGGUUCGUGGCAGACUGUCUCAAAAAGGAACCAAGGGGGCCACCACAUCAAGGAAAAGAGUAAGAGGCAAUAGUUUUGCCAAGGAUAAAAUCUGAGCUUUCAAACGGAAGGAUCUCAGAAACCUUAUGUAUCGGCCACCACGAGCCGGACGUCUUCCCAAUGCCACAUUUUCUGACGAGGCUGGUGGUGAUUUCUGCAAAUAUGGUGUUCUGAUACGUAUAAUGAAACGUGUCAACAUCUUCUAACUCCGCAAACAACAUGAUGUCAUAAAACGAUGCGUGCGUAAAAGAUCUGAGACAGACCAUCGAGUUUUAAAUGUGACAGAAUACAACGGCAUUCCAACAUCGCAACUAACUUUUGAGAAUUGCCACCUGGGGCGCCUAGGUGGCUCAGCUGACUUCAGGUCAGGUCAUGAUCUCAUAGUUCGUGAGUUCGAGCCCCAUAUUGGGCUCUCUGCUCUCAGCACAGAGCCUGCUUCAAAUCCUCUGUCCUCAAAAAUAAAUAAACAUUAAAAAAAAAAAGAAUUACCACUUGUUGACUUGUGGCGCAGCAUCAAAGGUGGCCUGCACGUGUCUGAAGAGGCCCCUUCACCUACGUAUUGCUGUGAGGCUACAUUUUCUUCAUGUAUUUCAGCUAAGAAAAACCCUAUUUUACCAAAUUGAGUGCAAAAGCAGAAACUGAUCCCAUCGGAUUUAGCCAGGUAAGAGAUUUGGAGAAAUGUAACAUAGUGCUACUUUCCUCAGUCAAUUUGUUUUGCAAAAUAUAAAAAAUAUAAAAUAGCUUCAAUGAAAAUGUUACUUAUGUUAACAUAUCGCGGGUUUAAGUAAAUUAACAAAUAUUUUUACAUUAGUUUUAUUGGGUAAUAGUAAAUCCUGGUAGGUGCGCCCCACACAGACCAAUGGUCUUUGGGUCCUCAAUAACUUUCCUAGUGCAAAGGGGUCCAGACACCAAAAUGUCUGAGAAGUGCUCUGCUAAAAUGAAUCACCGAAACCCUUCCGCAAAGAAAGCUCCAGGCCAGGUGGGUUCAGGUAGGCAUUCUAUCAAGGAAGGAAGAAAUCACAGCAAUCUUACAUAAACUCUUCUGGAAAAUACGGGAGGUGGGCAUGCUCCCCAGUGCAUUUUAUAAGGCUAGAAUAACCUUGAAACCAACCGUGAAAAAGACACUACAAAAAGGAAGAAGUCUGGCAGUUUCUUAAAACGUUAAACACACACUUACCACACAACCCCAUCAUCCCAGCCCUGGGCAUCUACCCGAGUGUCUGCGAACCAAGCGGGAAGGGCAGGGCACCUGCGAUUCUCAGAGAGCUCAGAAAAAUACCCAUGUUAGGUAGAAAAUAGAAAUUUGAAAACACACACGUGAAAUGAGUAAGUAAACGUAGCAAAAUGUUUAAACCUGCCAAAUCUGAUGAAGGGUUAUGUGUGGGUUCUCUUAUUCUUGUAAUUCUCAGUUUGAAAUUAUUCCAAAUAAAAAAGGCUGAAAAAUCAAA